CAGCAACUCAGAAGGAAAGCCUUGUAGUAGUAGGGAAACGGCAGCACCACAAGCCGGGGAAUAUCUGUGGUGUCUGCGCCUCGCUGCCAGUGUUGCCAGCGGCUGAUCCCGUCGGGCCGCCCUCCUGCUUAUGCCCGGUCCUGGGUGGCGGAUUGCUGGCGUGACUAGUGUCCCGGUUAUGCUGCAAGUCCUCGGUCUCUGGUGACGCAUCAUCCAGUUCGGUGAAACGCUGCACUGUGCCGCCACCGCCGGUGGAGGAGGCGGAGGACAGGUUUGGACGCUCCGUUUCCUCUCCGCUUUGUGGGAACGGGAAGCAACAGCAUUGUGUUGGAGCUGACUGGUGUAAUCAUUAAUGAGCACUAACAGUCGGGACAGGACAGGCAUGGCCUACAGCCUGGGACACACACAGGACGAUACAAAUGCAGUUUGGGAGAAGCGAGCGGCAGACGAGACGAAAGAGCAGAGCAAAGAAAAAAAACGACCUAAACUUUGGAAACGUUUUGCUAUUUGAGAACCGGAUGGUUGGUCCCUGUGUGAGUGUGUGUAAGGGAGAUGAGUGGGGGCUGGACAUAAAGGAAUAGCAGAAGGACAUAGUCUGCUUUAAAGCUAGUAAAGAAGUCACAUUUUAUGUCACAUGACCUUACGCUUUGUUGUGUUGAUAUUUGUUAUUUGUUGUUGUGCCUGAUAUUUCCUUGUGUCGAUGGGGAUAUUGAAGUCUACCAAACUUUAACUUGCCGUCCACCAGUAUUGAAAAAAAGGGAACGGGGCUGUGCACCGACGCUGCUAAGAGCAUUAUCAUUACAUUGCGUAGGCUAGACCUUUGUGCCGCAGUUCGACGAAUUAUUCAUUCGAGUAACGACAAUACUGUAAAAAAUGGGAGACUUAAAAGACAAAAAAUAAUAUAAGCUACCUCGGAUGGCUUGUUAGCUACUUUGACCACCCCAAAAUCAGUAGGCUAACAGCCUUCCAGUCAUUAGCACUAUAGUUAUUAAGUUUCUACCACUGGUCCAGCACUAAUAACAGGGUAAUGACAAGAAGCGAAAUCUGUUAGAAGUAUGAAUCACAAUGACGCAAAUAAAUAGAAACUGUAGAGAGAUGGAAUGGUCUAGAUUAUAUCAGACAACAAAGAAAGCAAAAAGUUAAUAUUGUGGGACAUUCUCCCACGUUGAAAAUUGGUAGGAUGACAAUUGCAAAUCUCAUCUUUUUUCUAAACGGAUAUGUGUUUUAAGCCUGCUGUAUUCCUGCACAGUAAAUCUUUCUGGUGCAGCUUCAGAGUAAAUAGCCGAGAGGCGCUGAAGGAACUCCAGGAAUCCGGGAAACUUCAGAGAUUAUCGACAAUUAAAGCUGAAAGAGUCAGGCGGCUGCUUUAUGGCUUUAUGGAUCCCUUUCACCUUUUGCGCGCGUGUGUGGGGGUGGGGGUAUGUGCGAAGGAGAGAGAGAGAACUCAGGACUUUUAUGGUUUUAUGACUUUUUAUGACUCUUUACAAGGAGUCCGAGGAAUGGCUACGAUCUGAAAAACCGCCCCGCAGCAAACCGGCAGAUGAACAAAUGUGUUGUUCUCCGCAAGUAACGAGCACUGUGCAGCUCACCUGCGGUUUAUUUCAGCCGUGGCAGUGAUAGGGUCGACUGCAUUUCACGGGUUAAAUAAUUAACCGUCUAUGAAAUUUAAAAUUCACUGCUUAUCCUACUAAAGUACUCUUAUGUAGCAUUUUAGUUCGAGUUAUUUGUAAAAAGUAGUUUAAAACUCUUAGCGCAUCAGACUGGCCCUCUUCUGGCAGAGCAGACGCGUUUAUUGCAACCACUAAAAUAACCUUUAAUUUAACCCUGUCUCUCAUCAGUGUAAUUUAAAGAGAAACUGUGACUAAACAAAAAAAAAAUAAAAUAAAAAAAGUAAAAAGAAUAUGCGAUUAAACUGUAUGACAUGUUAAGUAAGUGGUCUAUUAUAAUGUCAUUCAUUUAAAUUUUAUAUGGAUUUUGCCAAUCUCAGAAAAAACAGUGACAUUUUUUGAUAUAAGUAGAAUACUUUCGCUCUUUGGAUCGUAUAGAAGAUUCCAGAAGUUGCGAUGCUUGGAGAUAAAAAGUUCACGUGUUUAGAGUUUAGAUAAAUAGAGUUCCUAUUGCUAAUUCUCUCUCGCUCUCUGUGUGUGUGUGUGUGUGUGUGUGUGUGUGUGUGUGUGUGUGUGUGUGUGCGCGCGCGCCGAAGGAGACCUCUGCUGCUGCACCAGUUAAUGACAAACUCCAAAAAACUGCCUGACUAGUACUUUCUCUUGUUUAAUAUAUUAAUCGUUUCCAGGCAGCGCGAGUCGACUGCCGCGUCCUUCAGGGUACUGUGAGCACGCGCUCCAGGUCAGUUCACCGGACUAUUACCGGUGGACGGGAGCCCUCAGCCACAAAAGGCCUCGGGACCAGUUAAAGUUUAACGGUGGGUGAAUGCAGCAUCAGAAAGAGACCCAUAUUUUUCGGCUAAAUAAGAAGAGUCGAGCUUGAUUAUUCAAACAGUCUUAUUCGACAUUAUUUGGUCAGGUCAGACGAAAAAUAAUAAUAAUAAUUAUAAUUAUAAUAAUAAAAAUCAUAAAUUAACUUCUGAUACUAUCACCCUGGCAAUCGUUAUCUAACUGCACAGAAAAUCCUGUCGAGGUAUUUGUCCGCUGCGCAAACCACAAAUAGAUGAAGGGAAAACAAAUUUUCUGUCUGAUCUCAAUACUCUGAAGUUGAAUGCUGAAUAAAACUAAGACUAUGCUAAAAUCAUAAAUUAAACUGAACAUCAUAGUUUUCCCUCCAUGAGGGUCUUUCAGAUGAUUACAUACACGUUCACAACUGGAAACAUAUAUCUGAGGGGGACUGCACAACAGAUUUACAGAUAAGCGUGAGUGAUAAAACCACAAAGAAAGGACGAAUUAAUCUGCUUACACAGACACGAACACAGUGAAGCACAUGCACUCCCUGCUUGCCGCUCUAUUCCGAAACAGCCCUCCUGACCAAUCAGCAUAAAUUUUGCAUCCAGAAUUACUUUUCCGUGAGCACAUCCAGUGCUCGUGCGCAAGCGCAAACACGCACACACACACACACACACACACACAACAACACCAUUCUUCUGGGAUUUUGUACACACACGGUUUUCUACACGUUUCAUUCACCACUGUAACAGCAGCCAGGUCUAACCUUGGAGACAAACCAGGACUGAGAGAAACACCCGUUUCUCUACCUCAGUGCUACAAGUCGACCUUUCCAACCCUACAUCAAAGAUUAAAAAAAAAAAAAAAAAAA